UUUUUUUUUUUUUUUUUAUCUGUUAACUAUUAUAAACUGUUUAUUUCUUGACCACUGUGGAGUCUCAAAAGUAAAGCACUUCUCAGACAGCUGGCAGUUUUCUACUUGGUCGCUCUGGAGCUGUGGAGCAACAGAGCCUUAUUCCCUGACAUGAAAACAAAACAAAACCAAACAGAAGAAAACCACUGACUUAGAAAUUGUUCAGAAUUAACAGCAGCAUGUUACUUCAGAAAGCUUGCACGGAGUUUCUCUGAUGUGCAACGCAGUUGGGUUAAGGCAAGUAUGAACUGUACAGCCUUCAGGGCAAACAAUGCGCUGUCUAUUGACUUCUGCUGCAAGGUCAUCCUGGUAUUUUUAGUGUCGUGUUGACUAAGGAGACUCGACAUGGCCAGGAGUGCAGAGGGGGCUCCAAAAGCAACAAGUGGGCUAGGUUCAUGUCUCAAUCCAGAUGGGCCACACUGGUGGUAGCCAGGGUAGGGAAGACCCAGAAGAUGGCACCAAUGCCUCUGCUCUGCCCCUGUGGUGCUGGGAGGGAGGAGGUCCAAGACUGGGGUCUGGGGCAUCAUCCUUAGUACCUAUUAGAAAGAAGGGAUGAAGGUGUCUGGUGUCUCACUGUUCAAUCAGCUUUUCUAUAUAUAUUUUUUUUUUCCACAAAAACUGGGUAAUUUUUUGCUCUUUGAGAACCAGGAGGCCAUCCUGAAACAGUUUCUUUAUCAGGUCCUCUAGCCCAUGUUGAGUAGUCCUCAUGUUUACUUUGACCUAGAGGAAAGACAGAAAAAGAAAGAUAAUCAUCCAUCUUAUACCUGUCUGAUGACUGCCCUGCUGCUCUUGUGCCCUUUUGCAAGCAAGUAUAAGCCACCAACCAGUAGCAGUUCAGCUACACAUGGAAUGAAGAGGACAGAAUGACAAAGUGUUUGCUCAGGUGAUUGCUUGUCUCUCUCUGGAACAUUGUCAGAAAAGUCAGCACAGGUUUUCUAAACUGUUCUAGGCAGUAGUGAUAUUUAAUUAUAGUCAGAACUAUAUAUCCAUGGGUCAGCUGGAAGAUGACCUGACCUAUAAUAAUCCAUUAGAAAUGUACCUGUUUUUGUAAAAGCAAGAAGUGAUGCAGUAUGAGGACAAAAGGACUGAAUCACAGGUGUCAGGGAAAACCACCUGAGGCUCACUUGUAAGGCAGAGUGCAUGUGCAGGUGCCACAGCCCCAUAUACCCGUUUUGGUGGAGUCCCAAACCUGUGUUUUGUAACACCAGCUUGCAGUCUAAACCAAACAAGAUGUUGUUGGUUGCUAGGCAAGGCUUAGCUGGUAGUUUAUUUAAAUUAAAUUUUGCCCAUACUGUCUGAAUCCCACAGACAUGAGGAGGUAAUAAUGCAGCAGAUUUGUACUGCAUGAACUUGCUGAGUAUCACAGUGGUUAUACUUUAGGUGCUGGUUUUUUGUGUCUUGCAUAUGUUUCAUUUAUGCUUCAAGUGAAUGGUAAAGUAGGUAGUACCUUCAGGCUUGGUACUUUAAAAGCUCUACAGAGGGAUCUGGACAGGCUGGAUCUGUAGGCCAAUGGUAUGAGGUUUAACAAGGUUCAGUGCCAGGUCCCGCACUUGGGUCACAGGCUUGGGGAAGAGCGGAUGGAAAGCUGCUUGGCAGAAAAGGACCUGGGUGUGUUGGUCAGCAGCCAGAUGAACGUGACCCAGCUUGUGUCCAGGCAGCCAAGAAGGCCAGCAGCAUCCUGGCCUGCAUCAGAAAUAGUGUGGCGGCAGGGCCAGGGCAGUGAUCAUCCCCCUGUACUGGGCUCUGGUGAGGCUGCACCUUGAAUCCUGUGUUCGGUUCUGGGCCCUUCACUGCAAGAAAGACGUUGAGGUGCUGGAGCGGGUCCAGAGAAGGGCAACAAAGCUGGGGAAGGGUCUGGAGCACAAGUCUUAUGAGGAAUGGUUGAGGGAACUGGGGGGAGAAGACAAGGCUCAGGGGGGAGCUUAUCACUCUCUCCAACUACUGAAAGGAGGCUGUAGCGAGGAGGUGACUGGUCUUUUCUCCCAAGUAACAAGAGACAGGACAAGAGGAAAUGGUCUCACGUUGUGCCAGGGGAGGUUUAGAUUGAAUAUUAGAAAAAAAUUCUUCACAGAGAGGGUGAUCAGGCAUUGGAACAGGCUUCCCAGGGAAGUGGUGGAAUCACUGUCCCUGGAAGCGUUCAAAACUAUGUAGAUGAAGCCCUCAGUGAUACGGUUUAGUGGUAGACUUGGCAGUCCUGGUGUAAUGGCUGGACUUGAUGAUCUUAAAGGUCUUUUCCAACCUAGCUGAUUCCAUGAUUCUAUGACUCAGUAUGUGCAAUUAUCUAGACAAAUACCCACAAUCUUAGACUAGGAGACCACGACCAGUAUAAUGCACAGAAAAGAUGGGACCAAGCACUAAGGCAAAUACAUUAACCCCUCCUAAACCCCUCUAUCCCUGAGUUCUUGACCUGAAAUGACUCUCACAUUUGGUGAAAAGUAGGAUCUCAUUAGCCAGAAACUAUUGUUAAGUGCCUUUUAGUGAAAAGCAAUGCCUACCAAUAAUGUGUAGCAGAAUACACAUAAGUGGGCAUAUAUAUAUUUACACAUACACAUAUAUAAAGGGGUCUGUGUGCAUGUAGGUGUGUGCGUUUCCAUGCAUAUGUAGUAUAUGUGUGUAUAUAUACAUAUAUAUAUAUAAAAUGUAAACAUUCACAGACUUCACUGUAUAUAAGGAAAGCAAGAUUCACUUCAGGGAUGAACUGCUUUUGAGCAAUUUCUCCAAUACAUUAGGCAUCAGCAUCAGACAUGCAUGCUUUUUUUUUUUUUUCCCUUCAUUUCUUCUUUUCUUGGCCAAACAAAUUUACUGUGAAAAACAUAAAGAAAAAUCUUUCUCCCCUCCCUCCUUCCUACUGUUUUUAGAACAGUGAUCAUGCAGUGCAGUCUUGUUCCACAACUAUAACUGUGUUUUUUCAUGUGCAGCAGAACCAGUGCUAUGGAGUGCUUAGUCACCUUCCUCAGUCACCUUCCAAGAGCAGAAUUUUCUCUUGACAAUUGAUUUCCACCAUCUUAUUGUGUUCUUGUCCUGUGGUCUGGAAAUGAGCACUGACAUCUCUCACACAGAAUACCAGGAAGCUGCUUUUUAGUACAUCAGCUGUGGCCACGCUGCAAGGAGGUACACGAGCACCAGUUCUGUCCCAUUCUGUUUAAAAAGCGUAUUCGUUUUGAAGGGAUUGUCUAGGCUUCUUGGCUUGUACAGCAUAGAGCACGCUGUUAGCACUUAAAUAGUAAGAAAAAGCCAUUUGUAACAUAAAUGUCAUUAUAAGAAUUCUUCCCCAAAACACCACUGUUUUAUUUAAAACAUAAUUUUAAAUUGAAUAUAGUUUUCUCUUUAAAGUAACCUGAUUUAAAUUAAAUGUGAAAUUGAGAGAGAUAAUGUAGAGAGUUGUGAUUGGAAUUCAAAGCCUAAAAUACAGAGAAAAGAAAUAAAGUGAGUCUGAAUCUAAUAAUUUUAAACUUUUUAAGGAAACAGUAACCAGAGAUAGUCACGUCAAUUCACUAUCUACAGAUAAUGCUUCUUUUUCAUAAAUAAAGAUUUUUUUUUCCUUAGGUAUCCUGUUCAUUUAUGGUAGUUUUGCAUAACUCAUAAAAUUCCACUAAAAUAUACUGCAUGCAUUUAAAUGGAAUUGGAAUGUUCUUAUAAGUAGAGCUUGACUGAUAUCACAAAUAAAAAGUAAUAAUUCAUUAGAUAAAAAGUACUGACACAGUAGAAAUGUAAACAUGAGGAGCCUGAGUAAAUCAAUAUAAUUAUUUAAUUGCACAUGUAAGUUUGUGUAGGUUCAGUAUAACCUCCAAAUUAACAAAAUGAAGUGCUAACUAGCACACAGGAGGAAACUGGUUAAAAAACAGUGUCUUAAUAGUUAGCAAUUACUAAACCCAGCAUUCCUCUAGGAUAAUAAUUUAACUGUGCAUGUAUAAACCAGUUAAAAUUGGUUUAAAUCACUUGGAUGUAAAUUUGUCUGUCUUGAAUUGAAAUAAAAGUUUGUGUUGAUGGAAUUCUGUCAUUGCAAUCCACUAAAUCAAUUCACAUCAGCAAGCAGUAUGUGGGUGAUGACUGAGACCUACCAUACAACUCUGUAUGUCUUCAAUUUGUAAUAUUUCUAUAUAUGAAUCAAUCUGGUAGAUGGUUCUGGGGGGGUUCUUCGUGCUUAUUACUGAAAUACAAGUUGAAAUCUGCAUUUUGACAGAAUUUGUACAACCAUUAGAAGCUGAUAUUGUUUUGGUAAGCUUUUCAAAGCUGAGACUAUAUGUUCUUCUUCACUUUGUAGCAUGCCUAGCUCGCCUAUAGGUACUACAACAACACAGACAAUGGUAACAGCUAUUAUUGUUCCUUUGGAUAUAGUUAGUAACCAAAUGAUUUAAAGGCAACUACCUCCUAUUUCUCUCACAAACACAGAGCUCCACAAGUUGCAUUCAGUGUAAGCCUGAAUAGUUCUUUGGUGAACAAGAUCUCUAGGGAACCAAACCCUUCCUCCCAGCAACUAAAGCUUUUAAACAUCAAGUAUGGCCUGCUGUUAUCGCAUAAGUGUGUUUUGAUUUCCAGUAUGUAAUAUUGCUGUAAAUAGUGCUACAAGCAGAUCAAACCAUGGCUUGAUUAAUUCGAAUUUGUCACUCCACUACCUAAUGGUCUGCCUGCAUUACAGAGCAACUGCAGUGUGAAUACAUAUGCAUGUGUUCCUGUUGCGCCUCAGCUGUAAAUAACAGAAAGGUACCACUAAAUGCUGUAAAAGCCUCCUAAAGACAGACUGUAGCAAUUCUAGAGAACCUUGUCAAAUACUAUACAGUCAGAAGGAAACAUGAAGUGCCUUUGUUUGACUUGGCUGAGACACAGCGAUACUUUUGUGGGUUGAUUGGCCAAAACGUCAGCUCACAUACUGAUUUCUGUCUCUCAGUUAAGACAGUGAAAUCACCUAUACUCCCAUGAGAACGCAGCACUGAAAUAAGGCAGCACACAGUUUACAUGGAUUAAUCAUGUAUCUCUUUGUGUCAGCUACAAGCCUUAUAAUAUUGCCUUUUUCUUUUUUUUUUCCACAGGUCUAGCUUUCUUUCCCGCCAGUAUGAAGACAGUCAGUAAAUGCAAUCUGCUGUUCUGGAAGGAACACUGAGAUCAUAAAGAGAAUGGAAUAAUAUCUCAGCUAGAGGGCUCCAUAUAUUGAUGACAAGGUAUGUUAUACUGAGAAAGAAAUAGGAUUAGAAUUGUUCUAAGUACCUAUGAGCCACACAUAAUACUAGGAAGGAAAUAACAUUUUCUAAAUGCACAACACUGUGCCAAAAGUGCAGGUGAAAAAUCUUUACUUGAGCACAGAUAGAUGGGAAGCUGAAGUAAAGAUGGCAUUGGAGAUAGGCACUAUUGUAAUUUGAGAUUAUUAGAAAGCUCCUAGCAAAGCUCUCAAAAUGCCCAAUCCUAAACAGUACCACAGAAUUGAUUGUACCGCUGAUAAAAGAGUAAAUUUUUGCAUUUCCAUGCAAAAAUCCACUAAUCCAUUAGCAGACUUGCUUCCACUAGUCAGAAGACACAUUUGAGAAUGAAUGGAAGUGUAUGUUGAGACGGAUACUUUUUGCCUGUAUUUAGUUCUUUUCCUUGAAAGAGAUGUUAAACAAAGAAACAAAGGAAACAAAGUAAAUGUUGCCCCUUUCUGAGCUGUUCUGUGCUGUGCUUUUAGCAUGUAGGCCAGUGAUGGUAAGUAAAGAACAUUUCAAAAGGCUGCGGCAGAAAGGUAAGAUUUAUCUGGGCAGUCAGGACUGUUCUGAAUUGCACUUGGCAUCAGUACAAGAAAUAUCUGGAGAUUAUUAUUCCUGGACUGGUCUAUUGUUGGGUGUUAGCUCUAGUGUGAAUGUACUCCAGUUGUGUGUACGUGCUGAGAUUUGAUUACCCAUUUAAUUCCCAAAUAUAUCAAGCUGCACUCUAGGCAGUGGAUGGAGUUGUCACUCACUGGUUAAGUAAAAUACUAUUUUCUAUUUUAACUGAUUUUAAAAGCCAGAUGUUGUUACAUUUGUGGCUUUUUUUUUUUUUUUUUUUCUUUUUUUAAUGUGUAGACUGAAAAUGAGGUACAGAGGUGCCUCAGUGAACAGAUGCACUGGUAAGACAAAUGCUAAAUACAUCCACUAAAUUAGCAAGUUGCUGAAAUUUUGAUAAAUCUUAAUAAAACCCACUUUUUUGCACCCAAGUUUUGUCAGAUCUGACCUUUUUUUACUAC
rnacentral:lncRNA from 1 species